CUUACCUUUAUCAGACUCCAUCAACUCUAGCGACUACACGGUGGAAUGCCUUAUUAUCGACGUUGCAAAUGAUCUUGUCUUAAUGAAUUAAAAGUAUCGUAAGUUCGCAAGUGGUAAGAGGGGUAGUAAUUAAAUUCUACACCAAAAUAUAAACAUCAUUAGCCCGAUGAAUAUGAUAUGCCAACCUCUCAAAAUGAUAUGUCACAAUCCUUGUAAUAUGUAAACUAAGAACCAAAGUAUACCGACAAUUUUCGGUGGCUGCAACUGAUCUAAUAAGGUAAAAGAAUCAAUCAUCUCGGUCUAUAUAAUACCCUCCUAGUUAAGUCAUUUCUAAAGAAGCAAGCUAGAGAAAUUAGUAAGCUAAGAAGAGGUAUUGGAGAAGGAAUAAAAAAUGGAAGACAACCAAAGGAAAGCUUUAUUUUUACCAAUUCUGAUAAUGAUGAUGAUGGUGGUGAGCACCAACAAUCACUACUGUGUAGGUGCCUUAGUAGAGAAGACGAAAAGCUCAAGCUCACACUGAAAUGGCUCAAUUCAGGAAUGCCUUCUCUUCGAGGAAGACGAUGUGUUGGUGGAGUCCGAAAUAAGCCAAGUAUUUCCUGAUCUAGCAGCUAAUUCUUAUAACAAUAAAGCUGUAUAUCAAUCCCUUAUUGCCGACGCAAGCUGCGGCCGAAGAUAUCCAGAUAAACGUUGCACUCCAAAGCUCAAUAAACCUAAAAAACAGCAGCAUUGCAGCACAUACACUCGUAGAUGCUAAACCCCAGACAUCGAUGAUUUUCCAAGCAGAUAUAUUCCCGUUUCAAUAAAGUCAUGGCUAUUGUUUCAUGUUAUGUAAUCCACAGAGUUAGGCGGAUCGGUGCAGCAGAGGAUUCGACGGUGACCACUCACCAUAACUGUUUUAUUUUAUUUAUAGUUUUAUUUAUGUUUGGCAUUAAAAUUUGAGAGUUUGUAUUUUCUGGGGCUGUAUGGAAUUUUAACUAUUGGUUUUGGUUUUUUUUGCUCAAUUUAUGCAUGCUUUAUCAAAAA